GUCUCAAUCUGCACUUCACUCAAAGCCUCUGGAUAUGGGGCACUCACUGGUCCCAGCUCCAAAAUAAUUCAGCAGAAAAGAGUUUUCACCUAAAAAAAUCCCCACGAAUAUCUCCCAGGGAAGAAUUAUAGCUCCCAUAAUUAAAGGAGGCAGCGGCCAGAGGGGGAAUGCAGCCGGCAACCAAAAAAAAAGGCCACAGUGAGAAUCAUAUUUGGCAUGGAGGGGCAGGCUUUCAACUUUAUUUCACACAAGGAUUUUCAGUGAUUACCCAGACUGACACAGCUUGAAACCUUCAAUAGAAGCCCAAGAUAUGUGACCUGGAGCAAGCCACUUAACUUUUCUACAUCUGUUCAUGUGUCUGUUAAAUGACGGGGCUAGACCAGGCACACUCAAAGGCUCCUUCCAGGAUUAUUGUGUCUAAUUAGCAUCGAUGAUUUACCCAUGGCAGUAUGAACUUCUUGAGAGGAAAGAAAAGUAGAACAUCUUCUUUGGAGAAACAAAACAAAACAAAACAAGCUGAGCAAAGAUAGAAGAAAGGCACUGUUUUUAGGUGUUUUACAACAAAUACCCACAAGUAGCCCUCUGAGAGUUCCCUUUAUUUAUGCACCACCAUCUGAUUCUUCCUAUUGCCUUUAGCACUACAAAAUACAGACCACGGUGUUCCAAAGCAUUCUCCAGGUGUGUGGAGCAAUUGUCACUACUUUCUGUUUAUACACCCUGUCUAGUAAAAGAAGACAAAUUACUCUAAGUAGGGUAAAUGUGAUUAAACAAGCCCUCUGAAGCCAAGAGGCUACAUGGCUAAGGGUCAUUACUACAAGUGACCUCUCUUUGCCCAGACCAAUAUUGUAAAUGGCUUUAAAAUGAAAUUUCUGAAUGUCCUUGUUGCUGUCUCAGAUUUGGAGUCCAGUUGGCUUUGCAUGGUUUUUAAGAGAGUGAGAAAAAAAUUUCAAACAUAUGCUCACAGAGGAAAUGUGCCCCUUUUGUCCUGAUAAACACUUUCAAGUAUUUUGUGGUAUCCUAAUAAUGUAUUCAAUUGUGCCAAAAUAUUUUGGGCAUAUACUGAAAACAAUAUGAAACACAUUAUUCAUCCUAAGGAACCUCAUCAGAAAUGCUGAAGAGAUGUAGGCAUAAUUGCAAUUAAGGAAAAAAAGGAGAAUGUAUCCCAGUGAACACCAAGAUAAUCUGAAUCAAAUAAAAAGUUGAAAUUUGUUAACUUUUAAUUAAAACAUCUACACUGUUUCUUUCACCUGAUUGUAGCCCCAUAUGGCAAGGUCAGCCCUUUCAGUGAACAAACAGCUCAGUCGCCUCCAGUGUAGCUGUUAUCUUCCUCAACAAGGGGAGACAUUUGGCACAGCCUAAAGCUGGGGCAUGAACCCUGGCUAAGCUUAAGACAUUUAUCUGACAGCAUCAGCUGACACUCCACAAACACAUUUGCUCUCCAUGACCCCAGAGCAUUCGUGAUUAAUCAAAAAUGUAUCUUGGAUCUUGAGAACAAGCUACAAGCAGGCACACACAAAAAAAGAAUAUGCUCUCGAUCUCGCUUAUCGACUCAAGAGGUAUAUUGAAUUUAGAAAUAGCAAAUAGAAUAAAAUGAUCAAUACGUUCUCACUUGUCCAUGGAAGAGCAAACUUUAUCCCUCAAGCAAAAAUCAUUGAUCAUGUAAAUAUUUUUGAGCUGCUUUCAAACUAAAUAAAUGCAAAAAGCACAUGGCCUGUACUGGGGGAACAGAGGUGCCAUAAGGGGCUCUUGCUUUAACUCGUUAAAAAAAAAAUGUCCACAUAGAGCUUCAAGAUAGAAAGUGGAAGCACACUCAGAUGUGGAAAUCCUUUUAAAAUAGGUGCUACCGAAUCUCAUUUUGAUUACUCCUCACCAAGUUGUUCUUAAUAAAACAUUAUAAGGGAGACUUUAAAACUUAAUGAAGGUACAUAAUCUGCAGCAGAGAAAGCUCCCUGUCUUAAUUCAAACGAGACAUAGUUAGAACAUAUCCCCCACACACUAUUUACAAUUCAUAAUUUAUGUCUCUUGGUUCAAAUAUGCUAUUUUCUGCAGUCAACUGCUAAGUGAUAUGAUUAGCAUGUGAAUAUUGUAAAAUUCUGCUUUCCAACACAAACAGAGAAGCAUAAUUUAGGACAUUUCCAUGUUCGUUUGUAAUUUUCACUUUCUAAUAACAAUGCUGAACUCUAAUUUAAGUACGUAAUGGGAAACAGAAGUCAUGUGCCCCACCCAUGAUAAUACGAAAAUGAUUAUUAUUAUAACAACUUUCCACAACUGCACUUAUUAAAUCCCAUUUCUUCCUGAUUACCUACUGGUUAGGUUAGUCUUUCAUGAUAAUCCAGCACUAUUACUUUACUAAGGAAAAAGCGACAUGCUCUGGUCCCUGUUGGCAUGGCAAACAAACUUUCAUAGCAUGUGCUCACUCUAUAAAAUGGUGGUACUAAUUAGAAGAUAUAAACUCAUGCUGAGACAUGAUAUGAAUUGGCUUUAUGUAUCUACUAAGCUCACAGCAGUGCUAGAUUUAUACUGUUGCUUCCUUAACCUAACAUUGAACAGAAAACCCAACAACUUUUAAAUCUAUACAAAAAGAAAGGAAAAGUUAUGCUUAAAAAUAAAAGGAACCCUCACGUUGUUCAAUUUCACUUUCACUCUUAAACCAUUUCCUGUUGCAUAGCAUGCUACUCUCCCAUAUGUUUACCUUACUUAGAUUCUUAAAACAUGAAUUGUAAGCACUAGACAUCACAGCUGUAUGUUUUGACAUCCAUGGUGAAAAUGAGCAGAAAAUCUAACUGUUCCAUAUCAAGAAGUAUUUUUACUAGUGCUAAUGUGCCUUAAAUACCUUGUUCCACAGAUGAGUGGCCUGGCACCUGCUGCAUGAGAAAUAGCCAAUUACUGUUCAGUGUCUCUAAUUUUCUGAUUCAAUUAGCAUGCUUCAGAGCUUUCCAGUUUAAUUGCAAACUACUUCACAGUUAGCUCUCUGAUUAAUCAUUGCCCAUCUGCAAGCCAUCGGAAAACUUAGUGGAACAAAUUUGUGUACUUUGGAAUGCUGGGAGCUUAGCAAAUCAAACUUGUUUUGGUAUAUAAAGCUUUAAUUUUGUUUGCCCUUUUCAGCUGCACUUGUAAGAAGUUCUGUACUGAUUAAACAGGAAGUCCGGACAAUAAUAUGCUACAUUAUGCAUAUAAUUACUGUAAAUACGCUGAGAUUGUAGAAACAUCAUUUAAGGUUAGGCACUAACAUGUAUGGAGUAGGGGUCAAGAAAACACAUUUGGAAUCAAUUUCUUUCCAUUAUGACCAAAUACAAGUACCAUGGGAAAAAAAUGGUGAUAUACAGUGAUGUUAUUCUAGCACCUGUUCCCCUGAAGGCAUUUUCAAAUCUUUUCUAUUCUCAUGUAGUACAUUUUUCUUUUUAUUUAAUUAGUAGAGUACUAACUUUUAGAAGCUCUGUUUACAAAACACACAUUACAGAUUUUUAAAGAACAUGAACAUCACAAUGGAUUUAUGCUAUUUUCCAAGCUUUCUUGAUGUUCCACUAGACAUUUGGCUGUGAAUGUCAGAACUUGAAAGAAAAAAAUCAUUGCUAUGCUUUUAUUUUUGUUGUUCAGUAAUGUCAAUCA